rnacentral:misc_RNA from 1 species
AGGGAUGCCACGCAAAGAGAUUUUUUUGGAUAAUAACAUCAUUAAGCUUGUUAUGAGUGGAAAUGUUCGUUCAGUGACUUGGACUUUCACAAUUUAACUAAUCUGCAAUUACAUACAGAUAAGAGAUAUACAUGUUCCCAUCUAUUAGUGCCAAGGCCCCAGUUGCCCACGAUUUACCAUGCGCUACCCUUUUUUUUCCUCCCAAGUGAAUAUUUCGGAAGCGGACUUCUGCAACUCUUACAUGGUUUUUACUCAUCAAAAGUAAAUAUUGUUUGGAUUCACAUUGAAAAGGUCUGCAUAACGAAACGUAGUGAAUAAGGACAUCACACUUUACAGGCUUCCAUCUAAAUCUGACCAAGUCCCGUCACACUAACCAGUACUUGAAUCGUGUCAGCCCAGAUUGUCCUCAUUCAAACACUCAGCUAUUACAUGUCGCAAUUGAAGCAUCUUUUCCCUUGCCGACUUGUGCACGGCUGUGAUUCUUCUGUGUGCAUCACUAAGCUGUGUUUCAGCUGCUUCUUCCACCUUCAUGAAAAGCUUCUGGUGCAUUGCUUUUUGCUUUUUCACAGUUCCCUUCAACUCAUUAUGGUGCAUUUCUAGCUCUUCAACUGUUCUUUUACAGUCGUGGAGAUGUUGGUGGAUAUCUUCUUUGAAUUUAUCAUGUAUCAACUUCAGUUUUUCUUGUUGCUCCUGUAAUCUUGUCUCCAAGCGUUUUCUUUUUGAUUUACUAAUGCUUGUCAGCUUCCCAAUAUCUGUUUGGAUUUGUGACUCAAUAUUCUGCAGUUGUAGAUGUAUAUGCUCAGAAACAGACAUCAAAAUUUCAGAGGAUUUCUUUCUAGUUACUGACUUCAUUUUGUUUUUGAAGUUUUCUAAAGCCAGGACAAACAGUUUGACGACCCUUUCCAAUUCAUUCUUUUGGCAUUGUUCUGCAGGCUCUGGGUUCCAGUCACUUUCCCCAGUACCUUUCGGAGAGGGUGAGGUGGAGACAAAUUGGGGAACACCAUUGCCUUCAUGAUUGCGGAGCCUUUUACUUGGAUAAAGCGUGAAAGUGGAUCUCUCAGCUGUUGCAGUUUCUGGAGAUAAGGCAUCUCUUUCUGUAUGAUCUUCUUCAAAGCUCUUAGAAUCCCCAUCUUCAGAUGAUGAUUCGGAAAGACCGACUUCUACUUCUUUUCUUCCCGUGAGAGGUGAUGACUUGUGGCACGGAGAAUCUUUAAGUUCCACUGCAUCAUCAGAUGAUUCUUUUUUAGUAUAUGGGGAAUGACAAUCUGCCUUUGAAGUCCGCAAAGUCCUGAAGCUGCGAAUGUUUCCCAGAGUAUAUCUUCCCUCUGCUGGUGCAGGACUAUAAAUAGUCCGCUCUAAUUGGUCAGUUUUUGGCGUUGAGCUAGGGGAAGAACUUAAGAUAGGAGUAUUUAUUUUGAAUGUCGGACUUCCGAAUUCAAACUGUGGUUCCAUGAUAUUCUUUAAGGAAGGACUAACAAAAUCUUCCUUUUGACCCUCAUUUUCUUGUACUGCUGGAAUGCUAAAAUCUCCUUGCAGAUCCACCCUGUUUGUCCCUAAAGACUGAUGGGACUCUCUACUUGGAGAUUGAUGGGAAUCUCUUUCUUGGUCUAUAUUCUUCUGCUCAAGGCACUGUCCUUUACUUUGAGGCAAACAGCCACGAAAGUUUUCCAUUUUAUCACCAAGCGGUGAUGCUUUCUCAGUCUCAGCAUCUGGUAGAAUUUUACUCCAAUGAGUGGCUGCCUGAAUCUCAUCUAUAUUUUUGUUCUCAGUGAAGUGAAUCCUGCGGGGCUCAAUGCCAGAACUCUUUCUCCUACCCUUAUUUCUUGUAGAUAUUAUGGAGCCACCACUAAAAGCAACAUCUCCUUUUCCAAACAAUCCUUCUUCAAAGGUGAAGAUAUUCUUCUCCUUAAGUUUGUUUCUGUAACUGGAUGAUGGGCCAAUUUUAGUCUUUACCGGCUGCACUUUGGUUGAAACUCUUUUUCUGGUCAGAGAACAGGUUAUUGGUCUCCUCACAGGAUGAUCAGGAUUUUCAGAAUCAGUUUCUAUGGUGUCUGAAUUCUGUACAGGCUUGACAACUGCAUCACAAUUUUGAGCAGGAAUUUUCUCCUGCUUUACAUUAUUUGCGCCUGCCUCACGAGCCUGAGAAUUAGAGGGCUGACUUCUAGGUGAAGAAACAGUUCCCAAUAUCUCGCAUAGUUUCAUUCUCAAAGUUUCAGUUCUAUGUUCUUUGUUAUCGUUUGUCACUGCUUUAUUCACAGCUACUUCCUGUGCAGUCACAAAUCUAAAUUCCUCUGCCCUCUGCGAGUUCCCAUCCCUACCUCCCUUCCUUCUGUAGGUAAGUCCAUCAAACUUCUUUUGCAUGCUAUCACCAGAACGCAAAACUGACAUCUGGUGCUCAAAAAGCUGUACUGAAUGUGUUACUGGUGCAUCCUGUUCUCUGAUAAACUUGUUCCUCUUCUUACUGGUGGCUGGUAAAUUGGAAGUUUCUUUUGCAGAAGCAAGAGUCUGUGAAGUUGAUGUUUUUCGGUGAAAGGAUCUAGAAGUAAUCCAUGGGGAAGUGACUAUCUCUGGAGCUUCAGUUUGUUUGCUUUCAUUAGCACCAACAACACCUUUCCUCUUGUUUUUACCUCCAAGAGAAUUUUCUUUCUUAGAAUUUUUCGUUUCCAAACUUGAUGUAGCAAUAGCAUCUUCCUUUGAAGCUUCAGAUCUUUUCUUCACCUGUGAGUCUAUCAUAAUUCCAAUUGAAAUCUUUCUAGAUUGACAGGAUGGGUGAUGAUUACUGCCAAAACUCCGACAAUCAGUCAUUCGAUCAUCUUGUAAAUUCUGUCUUGUAUCAACCUCCAUUUUGUGGUUUUCAGCUGAGAAUGUAUGAAACGGACGCCAGAAGAAGUUACUUGGUAGAGAUAAUCGCCAGGCUGAAUCAAAACUUCACACGAUGUUUUUGAUGGGAGAAUCAGAUAAAACUAAGCCUUCAACUACAGAAAGGGAGAGAGAAUUUUGAAAUUUUUGUUUCGUGAUUUUGGAAUACGAUGAGGCGGG